AGAGUUUGAUCCUGGCUCAGGAUGAACGCUAGCUACAGGCUUAACACAUGCAAGUCGAGGGGAAACGAUAUUGGAAGCUUGCUUCCGAUAGGCGUCGACCGGCGCACGGGUGAGUAACGCGUAUCCAACCUGCCCAUCACUUGGGAAUAACCUUGCGAAAGUAAGACUAAUGCCCAAUGACAUUUAUAGAAGGCAUCUGAAAUGAAUUAAAGAUUUAUCGGUGAUGGAUGGGGAUGCGUCUGAUUAGCUUGUUGGCGGGGUAACGGCCCACCAAGGCGACGAUCAGUAGGGGUUCUGAGAGGAAGGUCCCCCACAUUGGAACUGAGACACGGUCCAAACUCCUACGGGAGGCAGCAGUGAGGAAUAUUGGUCAAUGGGCGAGAGCCUGAACCAGCCAAGUAGCGUGCAGGAUGACGGCCCUAUGGGUUGUAAACUGCUUUUAUAGGGGAAUAAAGUGAGCCACGUGUGGUUUUUUGCAUGUACCCUAUGAAUAAGGACCGGCUAAUUCCGUGCCAGCAGCCGCGGUAAUACGGAAGGUCCGGGCGUUAUCCGGAUUUAUUGGGUUUAAAGGGAGCGUAGGCCGGAGAUUAAGCGUGUUGUGAAAUGUAGAUGCUCAACAUCUGAACUGCAGCGCGAACUGGUUUCCUUGAGUACGCAUAAAGUGGGCGGAAUUCGUGGUGUAGCGGUGAAAUGCUUAGAUAUCACGAAGAACUCCGAUUGCGAAGGCAGCUCACUGGGGCGCAACUGACGCUGAAGCUCGAAAGCGCGGGUAUCGAACAGGAUUAGAUACCCUGGUAGUCCGCGCGGUAAACGAUGGAUGCCCGCUGUUGGGCCAACUGGUUCAGCGGCCAAGCGAAAGCAUUAAGCAUCCCACCUGGGGAGUACGCCGGCAACGGUGAAACUCAAAGGAAUUGACGGGGGCCCGCACAAGCGGAGGAACAUGUGGUUUAA
rnacentral:rRNA from 1 species